ACUCCUGCGGGAGGCAGCAGUGGGGAAUAUUGCACAAUGGGCGCAAGCCUGAUGCAGCGACGCCGCGUGGGGGAUGAAGGCCUUCGGGUUGUAAACUCCUUUCGCUAGGGACGAAGCUUUUUUGUGACGGUACCUAGAUAAGAAGCACCGGCUAACUACGUGCCAGCAGCCGCGGUAAUACGCAGGGUGCGAGCGUUGUCCGGAAUUACUGGGCGUAAAGGGCUCGUAGGUGGUUUGUCGCGUCGUCUGUGAAAUUCUGGGGCUUAACUCCGGGCGUGCAGGCGAUACGGGCAUAACUUGAGUGCUGUAGGGGUAACUGGAAUUCCUGGUGUAGCGGUGAAAUGCGCAGAUAUCAGGAGGAACACCGAUGGCGAAGGCAGGUUACUGGGCAGUUACUGACGCUGAGGAGCGAAAGCAUGGGUAGCGAACAGGAUUAGAAACCCCGGUAGUCCCAUGA
rnacentral:rRNA from 1 species